rnacentral:lncRNA from 1 species
GCCGGCGCCCGACGUGCGGAAGAGGCUCCUGGAGCUGCUCGUCCUCCUCACGGAGUGCUUCCCCCGCUCCGUGCUCAUGACCGUGCUCUUCAUCUGCCCGUCCCAAGAAAGGUACCGGCCCCCGAGCCUCCAGGGCGCCCCAAACCGCAGCCCCCGGGGCUCCCCCGAUAACCCCGCGGGGCCCCCGCCGAUAACGCCCUCUCCGUGCCCGCAGCGCCUCGAUGGACAUGUGGGAGGUGAUGUUUGCCGUGCCCGCCAUGGCGAAGCGGCUCCUGCACGAGCUCCACCUGCUGCUGCACGACAGGAACAUCCGCGAGUUCCUCGGGGUGGCCGAGGACCUCAGCCUCGUCCGCCUCAGCCUCCUCUACGCCCAGCGCCCCGAAGACCCCGUCCCCAAGGAGCUGCGGGACGUGGAGUGCCUGCAGCGCUGCCUCAGGACCGCCAACUUCCACCUGCUCUGGCUGGCGCUCAAAGGCCUGGCGGCGCUGAUGGAGAGGCCGCAGCUGGCCAAGGCAGGGCAGUGCCUGCUGCCGGACGUGCUGGAGACCCUGCAGUUCGGCAAGCCCCACAUCACGGCGGCGGCCCUGGCGGUCUGCGGCAACAUCCUCGGCAUCGUGGAGAAGAAGGCGGCCAGCCUCACCGCCCUCGAGCUGGUCGACGUGGUCAAGCCUCUCCUGGACAACGAGGCCGCCGCGGUGCGGGAGAGCUCCAUGAAGCUCUUCAAGGCGGCCAUGGAGCGCGUGCUGUGGAGGCACAAGACGCAGAUGUGGAAGAAGGUGCGCAAGAUCCUCGUCCCGCUCUACCUGCGCAUGAGCGACGAGACCCACAGCGUGGCCAAGGCCUCCCAAGAAGCCCUCAUGGCGGCGGCGGAGCUCUUGUGGUGGGAUGAGCUGAAGGACGUGGCCCACAUGGAGCAGACCUGGAGGAUCAGAGCGUGCCUGGUGAGGGCGGCCUCCGCGGCGAGGCUGGCGGGGGGCUCUCGGGGGCUCCCCGAGGUGGGGGGGAAGAAACGGGGCCGGGGAGGCUCACCGAGCCUCGCGGCCUCUCCAGCUGCAGCAGGAUCGAGACCGGGUAGAGAAGCGCCUACAGCAGAGCCGGGCGUACCUGGAGGACCCUCAGGCAUCCGUGCGCGAGGAGACCGUGAGGUUCAUCGGUGAGGCCACCUCCCUGCCCCAGCGGCCUCCGCAAGAGGCCCCGCGGCCUCCCCUCGCCCUGCCCGGGGCGGAGGCUGACGGGCGGCUUUGCUCCUAGGGCUCGCCGCGGAGCUCCUCCAGGACCAGAGCGAAGAGAAGCUGCGCGAAAUCAUCGACAGUGAGUGAGGGGAGCACUGGAGGCCGGGCGGGGGAGGACUGGAGGCCGGGCCUCCGCCCCGGGGGAGGCGCGGUGGAGGCUGGGGGGGGGAACGAAUCGGGGGGGCCGCGGGGCGCUCGGAGCGGCUGCUCCCCGCGUUCCUCCCGGCUGGGGGGCUCCCGGAGGGGUCUCCGCGGCCCGAGCGGAGGCUCCAGCCUCUCUCCGUCCUCCCGCAGUCCUGCAGCCCAUGAUGCACGACGCGGCGCCCUCGGUGCGCGCGGAGACCUCCCGCACCAUCCAGGCCCUGCUGCAGCAUCGCAAGUGGCUCCGGCGGCUGCCGGUGCCGUGGAACCCGCUGGCGGCGCUCUGCUGCUGGCCUCGAAGGCGCCGCCAGAGGCCGAAGACCGAGCCCCAGCCCGAGGAGAGCCCAGAAGGUUCCGGCUCUGAAGGGACGUCCAAGGACCCAUCCCCCUGCCAGAGCAAGGACGACUAGCUCACCUCACGGCCGCAGGGGGUUCGGAUGCCUGCAGAGGAGCCUCCGCACCCCCCCCGGGCAGCCUGCUCCACGUUUUGCCGCCCUCACCACAAAUAAAUUUCGUCCCCAUGUUUGUCCGGUGCCUCCU